AGUUAAUAAGCUUAAUAGCAUUUGUUUUGAAAACAAAAGAUAGAAUAAAUAAUUCUAUUAACUU
rnacentral:tRNA from 1 species